rnacentral:rRNA from 1 species
CCGGCGACCGGCGCUACGGGUGAGUAACACGUAUGGAACCUGCCCGCAGCAGGGGGAUAAGCGGAAGAAAUUCCGUCUAAUACCGCGUAACAACGUUGGGAGGCAUCUCCCGAUGUUUAAAGAUUUAUCGGCUGCGGAUGGCCAUGCGGCGCAUUAGCUAGUCGGCGGGGUAACGGCCCACCGAGGCGACGAUGCGUAGGGGUUCUGAGAGGAAGGUCCCCCACACUGGUACUGAGACACGGACCAGACUCCUACGGGAGGCAGCAG